rnacentral:rRNA from 1 species
AGUGAACGCUGGCGGUAGGCCUAACACAUGCAAGUCGAACGGCAGCACAGGAGAGCUUGCUCUCUGGGUGGCGAGUGGCGGACGGGUGAGGAAUACAUCGGAAUCUACUUUUUCGUGGGGGAUAACGUAGGGAAACUUACGCUAAUACCGCAUACGACCUACGGGUGAAAGCAGGGGAUCUUCGGACCUUGCGCGAUUGAAUGAGCCGAUGUCGGAUUAGCUAGUUGGCGGGGUAAAGGCCCACCAAGGCGACGAUCCGUAGCUGGUCUGAGAGGAUGAUCAGCCACACUGGAACUGAGACACGGUCCAGACUCCUACGGGAGGCAGCAGUGGGGAAUAUUGGACAAUGGGCGCAAGCCUGAUCCAGCCAUACCGCGUGGGUGAAGAAGGCCUUCGGGUUGUAAAGCCCUUUUGUUGGGAAAGAAAUCCAGCUAGCUAAUACCCGGUUGGGAUGACGGUACCCAAAGAAUAAGCACCGGCUAACUUCGUGCCAGCCGCCGCGGUAACAC